ensembl:lncRNA
UCUGUAACUGGAAUACCUUCAGGUUGAUGUCUGUAACUGGAAUACCUUCAGGUCGGUGUCUGUAACUGGAAUACCUUCAGGUCGGUGUCUGUAACUGGAAUACCUUCAGGUUGGUGUCUGUAACUGGAAUACCUUCAGGUUGGUGUCUGUAACUGGAAUACCUUCAGGUUGGUGUUUGUAACUGGAAUACCUUCAGGUCAGUGUCUGUAACUGGAAUACCUUCAGGUCGGUGUCUGUAACUUGAAUACCUUCAGGUUGGUGUCUGUAACUGGAAUACCUUCAGGUCGGUGUCUGUAACUGGAAUACCUUCAGGUUGGUGUCUGUAACUGGAAU